rnacentral:tRNA from 2 species
GCCGAUUUAGCUCAGUGGUAGAGCACCGUCUUGAUAAGGCGUAGGUCAGUGGUUCGAAUCCAUUAAUCGGUAUCA